GACAGAGGUCCCGAGCGUUAGGCGGAAUCACUGGGCUUAAAGCGUGUGUAGGCGGACGGGUAAGUACCUUGUGAAAUCCCACGGCUCAACCGUGGAACUGCUUGGUAUACUGCCUGUCUUGAGCCAGCUAGGGGCAACCGGAACAGACGGUGGAGCGGUGAAAUGCGUAGAUAUCGUCUGGAACGCCGAAGGUGAAAACAGGUCGCUGGGGCUGCGCUGACGCUGAGACACGAAAGCCAGGGGAGCAAACGGG
rnacentral:rRNA from 1 species